rnacentral:rRNA from 1 species
UACAGAGGGUGCAAGCGUUGCUCGGAAUCAUUGGGCGUAAAGGGUAGGUAGGUGGUCUCGUUUGUCUGGGGUGAAAGCCUUGAGCUUAACUCAAGAAGUGCCCUAGAAACGGCGAGACUGGAGUCUUGGAGAGGGUCGUGGAAUUCCCGGUGUAGCGGUGAAAUGCGUAGAGAUCGGGAGGAACACCAGAGGCGAAGGCGGCGACCUGGACAAGUACUGACACUCAACUACGAAAGCGUGGGGAGCAAACAGG